CCUCCUGCUCCCGGCGCCGCCGCCCGCAGACCCCGCGCUCCGGUGCCCGCUCGGCGCCAGUAUUUAUUGACCGCCAACUGUGACGUCAGCUUGCUAAGCAGUGCGGUAGGGGUGAACAGGAACUAGGUCCCUGCCUUCGUGCAGCUUACGGGCCAGCUGAGAACGUCAAGGUUUAAUGAGACAUCACUUUGAAAUGCGAAACCAUCAAGUUUUAUAAAAUGAAAAAUGACUGGAGAGGGGGGAGAGGAGGGAAACUGGCAAUCAAAUCCAAACAAGUAAGCAAAAAGCACACUUUUAUGGUAAACCUAGAGUCAAGAAUAGCUGUUUAGGUUGGAGUUCUUCUACCUAACAUACUGUGUUGACUGUGCCUAGUCAAUUCCUACCUUUGGGCCUUAGUCUUCUCAGCCACAAGAUAAGGAUAUUAAUAGUUACUGAACAGGAAUAGUGUUAAGGCAUGAAAUAACACCUGUGACAAACACUUUAUAAACUGUAAAAAGCAAUAUGAAUUGUGGUGGUGACAGAGUAAUAACAUGUUAAAUAACUUAAUUAUCUCAUUUAAUCUUCACAAUCCUGAACCAACAACUACUGUCUGCAUUAUACAGAUGGGAACCUGAAAAAGAAUUUAAACAACUUGCCCAAGUCCACACAACUAAAAAGUGGCAAAGGCAGAAAUUUGAAAGUAUAACAGCAACGGUAACACUUUGGGAAUUGAUGGGAGGGGGUUAACAUUUCUACAAUCCCAGCAAAAGGUAAGCGGGAAGUACUAAGAACUCCUGGCCAGGACAGCACAUCGGCAGCAACUGCGAGGUGGUGCAGAGGCGGGAGCUGUGCGAAGUGACCGGUAUGCGACAGCAUCAGAAGGCAGGGUCUGGCAAAGACUGCUGCCUAAUACACCCCUAGGAAGGGGAGAAGGAAACCCCUACCAGAUGGAAAACUCGGAGGAUUGAACUCUAAAACCAGUUCUUUGUUCUAAAUUUCUCCCUGAGGGGCCUGGAGAACAUCCACCUUAACAAAAUCAAUGUUUAACCUCCAUGUAUUGAUGUACUGUUUAUUUACUUAUUUAUUCAUUAGCAAUCCUUUUCCAAGCACUGGAUUGAUUUACAAUUUUGUCUGCAACUUCUGCUUUCCUGAAAUGUGCCCCUGCCUUUAAAAACCCUGGCUUGUAAGCCAUCAAGGAGUUUGGGUCUUAAGCAUACAUAAGCCGCCUGUUCUGCUUGCAUGGUACCACGAAAUGAAAAUGCUUUUUAAUCCCACUGCAGCUCUCAGUGUCAGUGCCUGGCUUUGCUGCUGCAGGAGGAAUGGAUCCCAGUUGGGUUA